CCUACGGGAGGCAGCAGUGGGGAAUAUUGCACAAUGGGGGAAACCCUGAUGCAGCAACGCCGCGUGGGUGAAGGAGCGUUUCGGCGCGUAAAGCCCUGUCAGCGGGGAAGAAGAAAGACGGUACCCGACCAAGAAGCCCCGGCUAACUCAGGGCCAGCAGCCGCGGUAAUACGUGGGGGGCGAGCGUUAUCCGGAAUUACUGGGUGUAAAGGGAGCGUAGACGGCGAGGUAAGCCUGAAGUGGAAGCCCGCGGCCCAACCGCGGAACUGCUUUGGGAACUGUUUUGCUGGAGUAUGGGAGGGGUAAGCGGAAUUCCUGGUGUAGCGGUGAAAUGCGUAGAUAUCAGGAGGAACACCGGUGGCGAAGGCAGCAUACCGGCGCCCAACUGACGCUCAUGCACGAAAGUGUGGGUAUCGAACAGGAUUAGAUACCCGUGUAGUC
rnacentral:rRNA from 1 species